ACUCUCUCAGCUCUAGUCAGCUGUACCUUCUCAGUGGUGCAGGUGGUGUUAUUGGGAGGGAGAGAAAUGAGCACGGCAAUGCACGGCAGGGGUACCCUGUGGUAUCUCUGUUCCUUCCUUGGGCUCAACAGGC